rnacentral:rRNA from 1 species
GACGAACGCUGGCGGCGUGCUUAACACAUGCAAGUCGAACGGAAAGGCCCUGCUUUUGUGGGGUGCUCGAGUGGCGAACGGGUGAGUAACACGUGAGUAACCUGCCCUUGACUUUGGGAUAACUUCAGGAAACUGGGGCUAAUACCGGAUAGGAGCUCCUGCUGCAUGGUGGGGGUGGGAAAGUUUCGGCGGUUGGGGAUGGACUCGCGGCUUAUCAGCUUGUUGGUGGGGUAGUGGCUUACCAAGGCUUUGACGGGUAGCCGGCCUGAGAGGGUGACCGGCCACAUUGGGACUGGAAUACGGCCCGGACUCCUACGGGAGGCAGCAGUGGGGAAUAUUGCCCUAUGGGCGGAAGCCUGAUGCAGCAACGCCGCGUGCGGGAUAACAGCCUUCGGGUUGUAUACCGCUUUCGCCUGUGACGAAGCGUUAGUGACGGUAAUGGGUAAAGAAGCACCGGCUAACUACGUG